UCCCCCUACUCUUCUCCUCUCUACACACCUCUACCAACGUGCCUUAGGUGGUUCUCAACAGUACACACCGUCAUACCUCUUUCACAGAGCCAGGGGAGAGAAGAAGAGAAGCCAAAGGGGAGAGAAGAAGAGAAGCCAAAGGGGAGAGAAGAAGAGAAGCCAAAGGGGAGAGGAGAAGCCAAAGGUUAGAGAAGCUACAGUGUCGUUGAUAGAGAACCUCACAGAAUCAUUACUCCGAGAAGUCACUCUGCUCACAGAGGAAAGGGAGAAGAGGCCCGAUUAUCCACAAAGCCAAGAGAAAUGGGGAGGAGCUGGAGACCCACGUGGACCCAGUGAGGAGGAGUCAGAGGUCACUGACACAGCUUUCAACCCCAUGGAGGAUCCUGCCACUGAACCUGUUAUUUCCUUGUAGACUGCUGCAGAGACAGAGGAGGAUGAUCUGGAGCAGUGCUGGCUGUGGUAGGAGGGCCAGGCUGACUACUUGGGCAAAGAUGCCUUCGACAACUUCCAGAAAAAACUGGACAGAUUCUUAGAUUAGAAGCUUGUUUUGUGUGGCAAGAUACUGUAGCAAUAGUACUGUAUACUCAUGUUCAUGUUUAUGCGUGGUAGUGUAGGCCACCACUCUAAUAGUUUAAAAAAAAUGAAAUUGGAAUCAAGUUUGUCCAUAAAUAAAAAUAAAUAAACAUGAUUCCAAUUACAUWAAAAAAAUGUGGCCAUUGAAUUCAAGUUGAAAGGCAUUCCUUAUUUUGAUGUUAUGCUGGAAAUAUCUGGAAUAUUUUAUAUUGUGUUUAUGUUGCCACUAGAGGGCACUGUGGCUUUUUAAAUAAAGCACUUUUCCUGGUCAAAGUUAAAGUCACACUCAACUCCAACAGCCCUAUAGGGGUCAUGCUAGUCUUGCAUAGACUCCAGAGACGAGGGAAGCUAGGGAAAGAAGAAGUAAUAUUGGCC